UACGUAGGGACCAAGCGUUGUCCGGAAUUAUUGGGCGUAAAGAGCUCGUAGGCGGCUGUCCACGUCGGAUGUGAAAUCUCGGGGCUCAACCCUGAGAGGCCAUUCGAUACGGGACGGCUAGAGGUAGGUAGGGGAGAGUGGAAUUCCUGGUGUAGCGGUGAAAUGCGCAGAUAUCAGGAGGAACACCGGUGGCGAAGGCGGAUCUCUGGGCCUUACCUGACGCUGAGGAGCGAAAGCUGGGGGAGCGAACAGG
rnacentral:rRNA from 1 species